GACGAACGCUGGCGGCGUGCUUAACACAUGCAAGUCAAGGAGAUAGUUCUCUUCGGAGAAUGUGUAAACUGGCGCACGGGUGAGUAAUAUAUAAGUAAUCUACCUUAUGGACAGGGAUAACGUCGAGAAAUCGGCGCUAAUACCGGAUAAUGCAGCGGCACCGCAUGGUGAUGUUGUUAAAGUCAUUUAUGGCACCAUAAGAUGAGCUUGUAGCUGAUUAGCUAGUUGGUAGGGUAACUGCCUACCAAGGCUACGAUCAGUAGCUGGUCUGAGAGGAUGAUCAGCCACACUGGAACUGAGAUACGGUCCAGACUCCUACGGGAGGCAG
rnacentral:rRNA from 1 species